rnacentral:lncRNA from 1 species
CUCCCUUCACUGCCUGCCUUUCUCCUUCUGACCCACCUCUCCAAAUUAUCCCUGUUGCACAAUUCACUUUAUCUAAACAUUUCAGUGUCUGUCACCUCAUGUUUUCUCCUUGCCCGGGCCAAGCCUAGAUGAAAUAAUGUGGGCAUGCCCCUCUUUAUCAAGCCAAGCCCACCUCUUAGCUCUCUCCCAAAUAUUUUACCUCAGUAUUCUCCUGCCUAUUCAAUUGCACAGCAGUCAGUUGUCGAGUAAAGGGUUGGCCAGAUGGUUUAGUGGAAGAAGCCCUUCCUUUUACAGAAGCAGCUGGCGAGCCCAGCUCAGGGAAGCUUAGUCUGCUGCC